CUCUUUGCCCCCCUCCCCUGCUCACGCUCUGUCUCUCUCCCUCUCCCACUCUCAAAAAAUAAACAUUAAAAAAAAAAAAAAAUCCUAUCGUGCCUGUGCAGAAGCCACUCAGAGUGAAGCCAUCUGGAUGGAGAGUAUGCCCUGGGGAUUUCCAGUCCUGAGGUUUCCUAGGUGCUCGGUGCCAAUUCAGGGUCCCACAGAAUGUCUUCUCCCUCCAUUUCUGGAGAUCCUGAGCUGCAUAGGGAUGGGGCUGGGUGGGUGGAGAGACUCCUGGAUACCUGUUUAAAAACUUAAAAGGAGGAGCGCGAGAGCGAGAGUGGGGUUUGACUCACCACGCGGGGUUGGCCGGCCUUGACUUCGCUCAUCUCCUGUUAACGGCUCAUGGUCAAAAUAGUGGCAGGGCACGGUUACAGAAAAGCUCCCUCUUUGUCUGCUCAGACUCCAUAGAAAUCCUUGAUGUCGUGGAAGAUGAAAGCCAAUCCGCCGGUCCUCCAGGGGUUGAGAAUGGAACGCACUACGGUCCUUGGUCUUCCGCGUGUCAAGCGUGGUUCUGGCAGGUGAAAGGAGCUGCGUCAGGUACGGCAAAGCUGCGGUGACUGCAGACAGACAUGUGCAGAAGGAGGACAGAAGGGAAGCAAGGGUGACCAGUAUGUUUCCUUUGAACGCCACAAAGGAUCGCAUUAUAAGCUUGCAGAGGCGCUGGAUCGCUGUCUAGUCUGCAUUUACGGAAAUGUGAAACUUCCACGAGAAGAGGAGGAAAAAUCCCCCCACUGUCUGAUAUUCUGCCUUGGAACGCUGUUAAGAACUACGUCUUUUUUUUGUUCUUUCCUCCCUUCGUGCUUUCUAACUUUCUGAAAAUGAACAACCACCGUUGUGACCUGUUGUCUUUUUAUAUUGUGUUAAGUAUUUACGUUUUUAUGUAUUUGCAACCAUGAAUGAGAUACGUAUAAAAAAGGUGAAUGCCAUAGGUGCUGAAAAGAAGUCUAGGCAGUUAUUUAUAGCACAAAGAUUUUGAAAAAUGAACCUGUGUUUUUGUACCACAAACCUUCCCCUUGACUAGUAGAGCAAGUGUGAAAAACAGUGGGUUUAUUUUAUUAUUUUUUUAAAGUUCAUUUCUUUAUUUUGAGAAAGAGGGAGACAGGGAGUGAGGGAGGGGCAGAGAGAGAGGUAUUGAGAAUCCCAAGCAGGGAUCCCAAGGCUGGGCUCGACUCAGGGCUCGACUCAGAGCUCGAACUCACAAACUGUAAGGUCAUGACCGGAGGCGAAAUCAAGAGUCAGAUGCUUAAUGCACCGAGCCACCGAGGCACCCCAUCUGUGGGUUCCUUUUAAAAGUUCACUUAUGGGAGCCUGGGUGGCUCAAAGCAUCUGACUUUGGCUCGGGUCAUGAUCUGAUGGUCGUGAGUUCGAGUCCUGCUUUGGGUGAACAUGAGUCCCGCUCUGGGUGAGCCCCACCUCUCUCUCCCUCUGUCUCUCUCUCUCUCUCUCUCUUUGCCCCUUGCUCACUUGCACCCUUUCUCUCUCUCUCUCUCUCUCUCUCUCAAAAAACCGAUUCAUUUGAAGUUUGAUUUGGUCUGGCUUUCGUUUUGUGACAUCAUUGACCCCCAAGAGAUUGCACCCACCCAGUAUUCAUGCCCUUGGAUAUUCCCCACCCCCAACUUUGCCUCUGGGGUUGGCCUGUUGACUACAUGUGGCCAGUGGGAAACUCGCAAGUGUGAUGCACGCAGAGGCUUGAUAAGCAUUUACACACUGGGGCUUGUCCCCUUAUAAAGCUUGUUCUUAGAACCCAGCCACCAAGCUGUGAGAAAGUCCAAGUGGCCACCUGGAGAGUCUUAGGUGGAAGACAGCAAAGGCCCCUGGCCAACAGCCCCAACUUGCCGGCUCUGUGAAUGGGGCCACCGUGGAAAUGGAUCCUCCAACCCCCGGUGGAGCCCCCCCCCAGCUGAUUCCACACGGAACAGAGAUGAGCUUUCCCCAUCAAGUCCUGGCCAAAUUGCAGGUGUGUGAGUCAGUGAAUGGUGGUUGUUGUUUUGAGCCAUUAAGUUUUGGGGUACUUUGUUACGUACGCGUGAAAUGGUACCUAAGCUAUUUUAUGUAUGGAUUGUAUCUAGUUGUCUAUCAACCCCUAAAUUUAAGUUGGCAUAAAGAUCGUAACUGUUUCUUAGUUCAGGAACCCUGUGUUGAACUCGGAGGUUCCGAGACUGCAUCCUGGUUUAGCAGAAAGUCAUGCAAGUCCCUUAUUCUAUCGAUUCUCCACCCACCAGCCCGCGUGAUCUUUUAAAAAUCAUUGCUUACAUCCUUCGGCGCUUUCCUCUGCACCUGUAAGGAAAACCGAAUUCCUUAUUCCACUUUGCAGGUCCCUCUGGCCUGUGCUUGAUUCCCCUUCAUUCUCGUCUCGUGCCACCCUCCCUCCACUCCACCACUUGCACGGUCCAGCCUCACACGUGGCCUUCCAAGUCCCUGAGCAUGCCAAGCUGGUGCCCACCUUUGCAUCUUUUUACCCACGUUGGAUGUUCUCCCUGCCUGGAACAGCCAUCAUGGGACUGGCUUCUUACCAUUCAGAUCUCAGCUGAAACGUCACCUCCUCAGAGAAGCUUCCCUGACUGUGACGAUCGGUCACAGAUCACCUCAAAAUGCACAAGCAUGAAUCUCUGCUUCGCAGGCCCGUGUGGCGAUUGGGGCAGCCGUCCACGCUGUCUCGGGCUACGGUCCACGUUGCCUCCCAGGUGAGCCGUUGAAAACCCUCACGCCUCCACGGCCCCAACUCAGAACUCACACGCUGCUCCCUCCACAUGGUUCAGAUCGCUUCACACGGCCAACAUCACUGGAGAGGGGAAGUACUCUUCCCAUGAAGUAGAUGUUCGCAUAACGACAAUCAAAUGUAUGAUAUUGUCAAACCUAAAGCAGGCACACCAUCAGCCCUUACCUUCAUUUCACCCGAUUUUAAUUCUCUGCAAAUAAUUGAUCACUCUCUGAUAUUUUUUGCGGUUAUUUAUUAUUAUUAUUUAUUAUUGCCUGUCAUCUUUUGUUAGAUCACGUGUGCUACGAAAGCAAAGAUAUUAUGUGUCUUCUUCAAUGCCCUAUUCCCCCACCCCUUGGAACAGUUUCUGGCUGAGACAAGGGGCCUGAUAAGAACGAAUGUUAGUUGCAGGUAUUCUUUUGGGGAGAAGGACCUUGAAAGCCACUUAUUUUUUUCCCAAACCUAACUUACAUAAGUAUCUUUAAAAAAAAAAAAAAAAAAACAUCUUAAAGUAAUCUCUACACCCAAA